rnacentral:rRNA from 1 species
GACGAACGCUGGCGGCGUGCCUAAUACAUGCAAGUUGAGCGCUGAAGGUUGGUACUUGUCCCAACUGGAUGAGCAGCGAACGGGUGAGUAACGCGUGGGGAAUCUGCCUUUGAGCGGGGGACAACAUUUGGAAACGAAUGCUAAUACCGCAUAAAAACUUUAAACACAAGUUUUAAGUUUGAAAGAUGCAAUUGCAUCACUCAAAGAUGAUCCCGCGUUGUAUUAGCUAGUUGGUGAGGUAAAGGCUCACCAAGGCGAUGAUACAUAGCCGACCUGAGAGGGGGAUCGGCCAAAGUGGGACUGAGAGACGGCCCAAACUCCUAAGGGAGGCAGCAGUAGGGAAUCUUCGGCAAUGGACGAAAGUCUGACCGAGCAACGCCGCGUGAGUGCAGGAGGGUUUCGGAUCGUAAAACUCUGUUGGUAGAGAAGAACGUUGGUGAGAGUGGAAAGCUCAUAAAGUGACGGUAACUACCCAGAAAGGGACGGCUAACUACGUG